UACGGGGGGAGCAAGCGUUGUUCGGAUUUACUGGGCGUAAAGGGCGCGUAGGCGGUCAGCACAAGUCAGUUGUGAAAUCUCCGGGCUUAACUCGGAAAGGUCAACUGAUACUGUGCGACUAGAGUGCGGAAGGGGCAACUGGAAUUCUCGGUGUAGCGGUGAAAUGCGUAGAUAUCGAGAGGAACACCUGCGGCGAAGGCGGGUUGCUGGGCCGGACACUGACGCUGAUGCGCGAAAGCCAGGGGAGCGAACGGG
rnacentral:rRNA from 1 species